UUGUGCAUCUACUUCAUCAACUGUCAUAUUAACCACUUCUUCAAUAAGUUGUCUGGUCUCACCAACAUCAUUUACUGAUGUCACAUUCUCAUCAGUAGUACCUUCAAUAUGUUCUUCCACUUCCUUGCUCUCUUCCACAUCUCCAACAACAGCAACCCCUGGCCCUGAGACAUUGACUUCAAUGGCAUCCACAACUGCAUCUCCUUCGGAAGUAAAUUUCUCACCAUCUGUUUCAGCCAACAAAGAUUCUGACGGUUGUUCAACAACCACCUUAUUGAGUUUUUCGGCAUCAUCACUAUGUAUAGCUCUCUCUUCAAUGACCGAGGUAGGUUCCUCGGCCUCCUUCAAAUUGGAUGAAGCAAUAGCACUCUCUUCAAUGACCGAGGUAGGUUCCUCAACCUCCUUCAAAUUGGAUGAAGCAAUAGCACUCUCUUCAAUGACCGAGGUAGGUUCCUCAACCUCCUUCAAAUUGGAUGAAGCAAUAGCACUCUCUUCAAUGACCGAGGUAGGUUCCUCAACCUCCUUCAAAUUGGAUGAAGCAAUAGCACUCUCUUCAAUGACCGAGGUAGGUUCCUCAACCUCCUUCAAAUAGGUUCCUCGGCCUCCUUCAAAUUGGAUGAAGCAAUAGCACUCUCUUCAAUGACCGAGGUAGGUUCCUCAACCUCCUUCAAAUUGGAUGAAGCAAUAGCACUCUCUUCAAUGACCGAGGUAGGUUCCUCAGCCUCCUUCAAAUUAGAUGAAGCAACACUAGUUAAAGCUUCAUUCUUUUCAUCCUCCACAAUCUCCUUCACCUCCUCCUGAAUGGACCUAUCCUCACCCCCUUGCAAUUCCAUCUUUUCAUCCUCCACAGUCUCCUUCAC
rnacentral:lncRNA from 1 species